GUAGGUGGCAAGCGUUGUCCGGAAUUAUUGGGCGUAAAGCGCGCGCAGGCGGUUCUUUAAGUCUGAUGUGAAAGCCCACGGCUCAACCGUGGAGGGUCAUUGGAAACUGGAGAACUUGAGUACAGAAGGGGAAAGCGGAAUUCCACGUGUAGCGGUGAAAUGCGUAGAGAUGUGGAGGAACACCAGUGGCGAAGGCGGCUUUCUGGUCUGUAACUGACGCUGAGGCGCGAAAGCGUGGGGAGCAAACAGGGAUUAGAUACCCUGGUAGUCCACGCCGUAAACGAUGAGUGCUAAGUGUUAGGGGGUUUCCGCCCCCUUAGUGCUGCAGCUAACGCAUUAAGCACUCCGCCUGGGGAGUACGGCCGCAAGGCUG
rnacentral:rRNA from 1 species